rnacentral:rRNA from 1 species
CCGGCGCACGGGUGAGUAACACGUAUCCAACCUGCCGUCUACUCUUGGACAGCCUUCUGAAAGGAAGAUUAAUACAAGAUGGCAUCAUGAGUCCGCAUGUUCACAUGAUUAAAGGUAUUCCGGUAGACGACGGGGAUGCGUUCCAUUAGAUAGUAGGCGGGGUAACGGCCCACCUAGUCUUCGAUGGAUAGGGGUUCUGAGAGGAAGGUCCCCCACAUUGGAACUGAGACACGGUCCAA